GACGAACGCUGGCGGCGUGCUUAACACAUGCAAGUCGAACGGAAAGGCCCUGCUUUUGUGGGGUGCUCGAGUGGCGAACGGGUGAGUAACACGUGAGUAACCUGCCCUUGACUUUGGGAUAACUUCAGGAAACUGGGGCUAAUACCGGAUAGGAGCUCCUGCUGCAUGGUGGGGGUUGGAAAGUUUCGGCGGUUGGGGAUGGACUCGCGGCUUAUCAGCUUGUUGGUGGGGUAGUGGCUUACCAAGGCUUUGACGGGUAGCCGGCCUGAGAGGGUGACCGGCCACAUUGGGACUGAGAUACGGCCCAGACUCCUACGGGAGGCAGCAGUGGGGAAUAAUGCACAAUGGGCGGAAGCCUGAUGCAGCAACGCCGCGUGCGGGAUGACGGACUUCGGGUUGUAAACCGCUUUCGCCUGUGACGAAGCGUGAGUGACGGUAAUGGGUAAAGAAGCACCGGCUAACUACGUG
rnacentral:rRNA from 1 species